AUACGGAGGGAGCGAGCGUUAAUCGGAAUUACUGGGCGUAAAGCGCGCGUAGGCGGCUUUGUAAGUCGGAUGUGAAAGCCCUGGGCUCAACCUGGGAAUUGCAUUCGAUACUGCAUGGCUAGAGUAUGGUAGAGGGAAGUGGAAUUUCCGGUGUAGCGGUGAAAUGCGUAGAUAUCGGAAGGAACACCGGUGGCGAAGGCGACUUCCUGGGCCAAUACUGACGCUGAGGCGCGAAAGCGUGGGUAGCAAACAGGAUUAGAUACCCCGGUAGUCC
rnacentral:rRNA from 1 species